UACCGAGGUCUCAAGCGUUGUUCGGAUUCAUUGGGCGUAAAGGGUGCGUAGGUGGCGCCGUAAGUCAGGUGUGAAAUUUCGGAGCUUAACUCCGAAACUGCAUUUGAUACUGCGGUGCUUGAGGACUGGAGAGGAGACUGGAAUUCAUGGUGUAGCAGUGAAAUGCGUAGAGAUCAUGAGGAAGACCAGUGGCGAAGGCGGGUCUCUGGACAGUUCCUGACACUGAGGCACGAAGGCCAGGGGAGCAAACGGG
rnacentral:rRNA from 1 species